UAGCCUAGUGGUUAAGGCUAUGGAUCGCAAAUCCGGAGACGGCGGGUUCGAUUCCCGU
rfam:Aedes albopictus isolate Foshan contig44391, whole genome shotgun sequence.